UGACAUUACCUAUAGAAAAAGCACCGGCUAACUCCGUGCCAGCAGCCGCGGUAAUACGGAGGGUGCAAGCGUUAAUCGGAAUUACUGGGCGUAAAGCGUGCGUAGGCGGUUGUUUAAGUCAGAUGUGAAAGCCCUGGGCUUAACCUGGGAACUGCAUUUGAUACUGGGCGACUAGAGUUGAGUAGAGGGGAGGGGAAUUUCAGGUGUAGCGGUGAAAUGCGUAGAUAUCUGAAGGAACACCCGUGGCGAAGGCGCCUCCCUGGACUCGAACUGACGCUGAGGUACGAAAGCGUGGGUAGCAAACAGGAUUAGAUACCCUGGUAGUCCACGCCGUAAACGAUGUCAACUAGCCGUUGGUCUUAUUCACAAGAUUAGUGGCGCAGCUAACGCGUUAAGUUGACCGCCUGGGGAGUACGGCCGCAAGGUUAAAACUCAAAUGAAUUGACGG
rnacentral:rRNA from 1 species